rnacentral:misc_RNA from 1 species
AUGGAGGCUCCUCUUGCUUCUCAUUGCGCCAGAGAUGAAGCCUUACGUCCCUGGCGGGUGCAACAUACUGAGGCCCAUUUGACGCCUCACGGGUUCUGGAAUCAGCUUGUUUAUCAGCUCAGGCGAAGCACCUGCAAGUUCUUGUUUGAAGUUAAAGAGAGGCGGCAGUGGGCGACCAUUGGGCAACCGUGUAUUGGGAUCCCGCAAUUCAUCAAAAAAGGAAUGAGCACAUGCUUCUAGAGCAGUGCAACGUAGACUUGGCGAGUACUGGAGAAGACGUGAUGCUAGAUCAAUUGCUUCCGGAGGCAUUCUCUUGUGAAAAACCUUGUGCCAGGGAUGCGCUUUUAUCUG